rnacentral:rRNA from 1 species
CAAUAGCGUAUAUUAAAGUUGUUGCAGUUAAAAAGCUCGUAGUUGGAUUUCGGGGCAGCCUGGCUGGUCCGCCGCAAGGCGAGUACUGGUCAGCCGCCCUUCCUCUCGAAAGCCCCGACUGCUCUUUAUUGCAGUGGUCGGGUAGUUCGGGACGUUUACUUUGAAAAAAUUAGAGUGUUCAAGGCAGGCCUACGCCUGAAUACAUUAGCAUGGAAUAAUGGAAGAGGACCUCGGUCCUAUUUUGUUGGUUUCCAGGACCGAAGUAAUGAUUAAGAGGGACAGUUGGGGGCAUUCGUAUUUAAUUGUCAGAGGUGAAAUUCUCGGAUUUAUGAAAGACGAACAACUGCGAAAGUAUUUGCCAAGGAUGUUUUCAUUAA